rnacentral:rRNA from 1 species
GACGAACGCUGGCGGCGUGCUUAACACAUGCAAGUCGAGCGGUAAGGCCCUUCGGGUACGACGAGCGGCGAACGGGUGAGUAACACGUGGGUGACCUGCCUCUAGCUCUGGGAUAAGCCUGGGAAACGUGGGUCUAAUACCGGAUAUGACUCCACGGCGCAUGUUGUGGGGUGGAAAGCCUUGUGUGGCUAGAGAUGGGCCCGCGGCCUAUCAGCUUGUUGGUGGGGUGAUGGCCUACCAAGGCGACGACGGGUAGCCGGCCUGAGAGGGCGACCGGCCGACACUGGGACUGAGACACGGCCCAGACUCCUACGGGAGGCAGCAGUGGGGAAUCUUGCGCAAUGGGCGAAAGCCUGACGCAGCGACGCCGCGUGAGGGAU